AUGAAGCGAUGAGGACGAAGGCCAAGACCCUUAUCUCCACAGAUCUCAGCAUUUCGUUUUCGUCGUUCUUCAAUGAUCUCUCUCUCUUAUCAUCUACGGACAGAUGAGCAAGCGUGGGUAUAGACCCUUGUCCUCCGUGUGUAAGGGGUUCAUCUCCAUCUUCUUCGUUUCCGGACAUCAACGCUGAAACAGGUUGUAGACAGGUUCUGGAAUAAAAAAAAAGCAUCAAAAAGCAAGAGAGGAUUUUCAGUAUUACCUUGGUGAGCUGUUGUAUUCUUCCUCCCCACCCAGAUGACUAUUGAUGCAGUUAUUUUCGUCAUACAGUGAGAUAGGGUACAAAUUUACUUGCAAUCCUGCUAGUAUAUUUGAUGCAAUUCCAAAGGUCUAAUGAAAGUUCACUGCUUUUCAAUAAGUAGAAGAUACAAUAUUUUAUUGCUGAUUCACAAACUGAGUUUGGAGGCUCAAUGAUUCAAGCUUCAAUCCAAUUUUCUUACAUGUAAUUAGGAGAAGGCUUAAAGAGAUUUGAAGGCAGAUCCAAAAUCAUUAAAUCACACAGCAUGGAUAUUACCUGGAACACCAGAAAUCACACAGCAGACCAAUUUUGCGUGAAGCAUAAUUCAGUCGUGUAUAACGAUUUUGAUGACCAUAGAAUUUAUUUGGUAGAGCUUAUGAUAGAGUAAUGGGUCAAGCAAUUGACUCGAACCGCCAACAAAUACAUGACCCGGUUACAACUAAAAGAGCAACGGGCAGAAGUGCAACGGACAGAAUUAUUACUGCGGAUCAUUUACUGUGCCCAUUGAAGAAGAGAAAUAAAGGCUUAGGCUCCCCAUUAUUCUUCCAAAAGGUUGAACCCCAACUCUAAGGGCCCCCACACUCCGACCCGACAGAGCAUUUGGGAGGGUAGGCUCCCCAUUAUGAUAUAACUGUUAGGGGACUUAGUAUAAGUAAUAGCUCUCCUAGCUUAGCAAGACACGCUGAAUUCUGUACUGAAAACUAUAGCAAUACACUUAUCUUUACUAACACAUAAUAAUAAUAAUAUUAUCCGGUAACAUAUUUACCGUCAGCUUA